GCCAGCGGGGAUAGCACGUUGAAUGCUCCAGUUCCCAAAGGAUCACUGAAGUUAAGCAACGUUGCUUGUAUCUAGUAUUGGGAUGGGUGACUAUCUGGGAAAGCAACGUUGCUUGUC
rfam:Asian citrus Psyllid, Diaphorina citri - Florida Strain, whole genome shotgun sequence.